rnacentral:rRNA from 1 species
AUACGAAGGGGGCUAGCGUUGUUCGGAAUUACUUGGGCGUAAAGCGCAUGUUAGGCGGACAUUUAAGUCAGGGGUGAAAUCCCGGGGCUCAACCUCGGAACUGCCUUUGAUACUGGGUGUCUAGAGUGUGGAAGAGGUAAGUGGAAUUCCGAGUGUAGAGGUGAAAUUCGUAGAUAUUCGGAGGAACACCAGUGGCGAAGGCGGCUUACUGGUCCAUUUACUGACGCUGAGGUGCGAAAGCGGUGGGGAGC